rnacentral:rRNA from 1 species
UACGUAGGGUGCGAGCGUUGUCCGGAAUUAUUGGGCGUAAAGCGCGCGCAGGCGGUCCUUUAAGUCUGAUGUGAAAGCCCACGGCUCAACCGUGGAGGGUCAUUGGAAACUGGGGGGACUUGAGUACAGAAGAGAAGAGUGGAAUUCCACGUGUAGCGGUGAAAUGCGUAGAGAUGUGGAGGAACACCAGUGGCGAAGGCGACUCUUUGGUCUGUAACUGACGCUGAGGCGCGAAAGCGUGGGGAGCAAACAGG